CUCACUGUAGUUGACGGUGGACCUGCUGGAGUAAACGGAAAAUCCGAUGAGUAGAAAGGAACUUUGGUUUAACCAGUACUUUUGAAGGAGUAAAGCAGGAAGAAAACUGACCUUGUUGUACAACGUAAACAAAGGCUAUCCGCUGUGAGUAUACUUGUUUGGUGUGGAGUAAACUGCAGAGAUUAACCUGUGUGAUCGUUGGAGUCCUCGAGGAGCAAACGGGCGGCCCUGCCCCUAUAAUAGCGUGGUGGGCGAGCCGCUGGAAGUAUAGAUCCAAAACAGCACAGCAACGAGACUUUAUUUCGGUCGUGUUUGCCAUCGCCCCUAUUUAGCCCAAGCGCAGUGGAGGACACCGGGCGCUUUCCCUUGUGGUGUUGCACUUAUAGUGUGGUGAGUGAGACUUUACAAUUAAUAAGCUUUUCACGUUGGAGUGGUGCUGUGUAUUUGCCGUGGGUUGCUGUGUGUCUUGUCAGACGAAGCCCCGCACCAUCCAUUUCCUCUACUGGGCAGAGGACGGAGAGGCUAACGACCUCAGAAAUUACUGCUAUCAUACGCUGUGUGCUGUUUCGGAGUACGAAGGGAUGCAGACCAAGAGCUGUCAAGGACUCGACCACCUGUGGAGAGAGAGGAAAACAAGAGUGAAUAAUUGAAGAACAGACUGUGAACGUGAUACCUACCCAGAAAGCUGUAAGCAGCAGAGCCGGUGAGAAAUACUCGAAGUUUCAGUAACAGUGUCUUUGUGUCCUAGCGACCACCUGUGGAGAGAGAGGAAAACGAGAGUGAAUAAUUGAAGAACAGACUGUGAACGUGAUACCUACCCAGAAAGCUGUAAGCGGCAGAGCCGGUGAGAAAUACUCGAAGUUUCAAGUAACAGUGUCUUUGUGUCCUAGCGACCACCUGUGGAGAGAAAGGAAAACGAGAGUGAACAAAUUGGAGAACAGACUGUGUAACGUGAUACCUACCCAGAGAGCUGUAAGCAGCAGAGCCGGUGAGCAAUACUCGAAGUCCAAGUAACAGUGUCUUGGUGUCCUAGCGACCACCUGUGGAGAACGAGAAUGAACACUAGGAGAAGGAACUGUGUGAAGAUCCAGUUGGUGGUGGAGGAGAGCCUAGAGUGGCCAUUAUUUUAAGUUCCCCGUUUUUCCCUUCCCUAUUUAUCUUUUUUUAAGUAACUUAAAUAAAGUACAUUUUUAAAUUAUG